rnacentral:pre_miRNA from 1 species
AGUGGAAUUACUGGGUCACAUGGUAGCUCUGUGUUUAACUUUUUGAGAAAUUGCCAAGUUAUUUUCCAAAGUAGCUGCACCAUUUUACAUUCCCACCAGCAAU